AUUAGCAGCCAUAUCAGCCUCUGGUUGUGAUCUGGUCUGCUCUCAUAAGCCAAGCAGGGUUGGUCAUGGCCAACAAUUAGACGGGAGAUCUCCAAGAACAUUCUAGGGUGCUGCAGGAA
ensembl:rRNA 5S_rRNA 5S ribosomal RNA